rnacentral:Y_RNA from 1 species
GGCUGGCCCGAAGGUAGUGAGAGUUAUCUCACUUGAUUGUUCACAGUUACAGAUAGAAUUCCUUGUUCUACUCCUCCCCCCUUCUCAACGACUGCACUUGACUAGUCUUAA